AUUGUUGGAAAUUUUUAUGGAUGACCAUGUAUAUUCAAAGAAAGUUAUGGGUUAUUUUUUACUUGAACACUCAUGUGCCUAAUAUUCUUUGUUUAGCAUUGAUGGUUUGUUUUUAAAGGAGAGAUACUUGAUCCAUGCUCAUUAAGGAGAUCAAAAUCAUAUCUUUGAUCCUAGAGAUAGUUUUGGUGCAUAAGAAAGUUUAGGUGAGUAUUUUUUUUUC
rnacentral:lncRNA from 1 species